rnacentral:rRNA from 1 species
GACGAACGCUGGCGGCGUGCUUAACACAUGCAAGUCGAACGGCAAGGCCCUGCUUUUGUGGGGUGCUCGAGUGGCGAACGGGUGAGUAACACGUGAGUAACCUGCCCUUGACUUUGGGAUAACUUCAGGAAACUGGGGCUAAUACCGGAUAGGAGCUCCCGCUGCAUGGUGGGGGUUGGAAAGUUUCGGCGGUUGGGGAUGGACUCGCGGCUUAUCAGCUUGUUGGUGGGGUAGUGGCUUACCAAGGCUUUGACGGGUAGCCGGCCUGAGAGGGUGACCGGCCACAUUGGGACUGAGAUACGGCCCAGACUCCUACGGGAGACAGCAGUAGGGAAUAUUGCACAAUGGGCGGAAGCCUGAUGAAGCAGCGCCGCGUUCGGGAUGACGGCCUUCUGGUUGUAAGCCGCUUUCGCCUGUAACGAAGCGUGAGUGACGGUAAUGGGUAAAGAAGCACCGGCUAACUACGUG